rnacentral:rRNA from 1 species
UACGGAGGGUGCAAGCGUUAUUCGGAUUUGCUGGGCGUAAAGGGCGCGUAGGCGGCUUGAUAAGUCAGUCGUGAAAGCCCGGGGCUCAACCCCGGAAGUGCGAUCGAAACUAUUUGGCUUGAGUAUGGUAGAGGGAAGUGGAAUUCCAGGUGUAGCGGUGAAAUGCGUAGAUAUCUGGAGGAACACCGGUGGCGAAGGCGACUUCCUGGACCAAUACUGACGCUGAUGCGCGAAGGUGUGGGUAGCAAACAGGAUUAGAUACCCUGGUAGUCCACACAGUAAACGGUGAUCACUAGGUGUUGCGGGUAUUGACCCCUGCAGUGCCGGAGCUAACGCAUUAAGUGCACCGCCUGGGGAGUACGGUCGCAAGACUGAA